CACACGAAUUUAUGUCUCUACACAUUAACCAAAAUCAUCUUCCUUCUUUCUCUAUUACUUUCUUCUGCACGUUCUCGUUCUUCCACGGAUCAGGGUAAGCAUCAAUCUCAGAGGCAAACAUCGAUCUCAGAGGAGCGGAAUGGAUGUACCCUUGAUAUUUGAUUGGUUUCAGUCGAAAGAACUAAUUACAAACAUGACAAUAAAUGGUACAAUAGUAGAUCACUUUACCAUAGUAGUUGCAAAUUUGAGUCCUGACGUCCCUGAUGCUCUGUUGUUUGAAUUUUUCUCGGUAUUUCCAUCUUGCACGUACGUCCUUCAACUCAUUUAUUCUUUGUUUAUUUUGUUUUCAAUAUGUGGCAACCUUGUGAUAUAAUUGUGAUACUACUUUUAUUUUAAUACAUAGUUCUCAAAAGGGUGAUGUGGGAUCAAAGAUCGUGUAAUUCAUUUAAGUUUGCUUA